AACGCGAAGAACCUUACCAGGACUUGACAUCCCGCAGAUCGGGGUAGAGAUACUUCUUCCCUUCGGGGCUGCGGAGACAGGUGGUGCAUGGUUGUCGUCAGCUCGUGUCGUGAGAUGUUGGGUUAAGUCCCGCAACGAGCGCAACCCUUACUUCGUGUUGCCAGCAUUCAGUUGGGCACUCACGAGGGACUGCCGUCAACAAGACGGAGGAAGGUGGGGAUGACGUCAAAUCAUCAUGCCCCUUAUGUCCUGGGCUACACACGUGCUACAAUGGGCGGAACAACGGGAUGCGAAGCCGCGAGGUGGAGCCAAACCCUAAAAACCGUUCGUAGUUCGGAUUGUAGGCUGCAACUCGCCUACAUGAAGCCGGAAUUGCUAGUAAUCGCGGAUCAGCAUGCCGCGGUGAAUCCGUUCCCGGGCCUUGUACACACCGCACGA
rnacentral:rRNA from 1 species